rnacentral:rRNA from 3 species
UGCGACCUCAGGUCAGGCGGGGC